ensembl:lncRNA
AAGCGGAGUGUUUGAAGCCCAUUGUUUCACGGGGUAGGCGCCGCCCCGGCAUCGGUACUUACUAACACCCCCCCCCCUCAAAAAAAAAGAAAGAAUUGGCUCCAACAGAAGUUGAAAAUGUGUCAGUGUGUCAGUCCCCUCUCACCUCCGACAGCCACCCUCCUAUGGUGUUUUUCAGACCAGGCCAGUGUCCUUUCCCUCUGUGCAUGUGAAUCAUAGAAAUUAGACUCUCUACUGUUAAAGUUCGAUGUGUGGAACCUUCAGUAAUUGUCAACCAGAACGUUCUCAGGGAUUUCUCUACACAGGAAAAAAGGCGGAACAAAUGAUCGACUGACUACAGGAAAAAAGACAAAAACGUGACACAACAUGAGCGAGCAUUUAUUGUACUCUGUAUAUAUGCCAUAGUAUAUGUCUGAAUAUGGAGGAUCUGAAAGUAUAUGUUAACUAAUUUAUACAGAGUAUUCUAUGUAAUGUGAAAUACUUGAAGCCGCUGUAGUUUGCUCUCUCUCUCUCUCUCUCUCUCUCUCUCUUUCUAUCUCCGGCUCUCCUUCUCUUUUUUUUUUUUGUUUGGUUUUUGGUAUUUUGUUGAAAAACAGAACAUAUCAGAAGGACUAGACUGACCUUGCUUUUUGGACUCACAAGGCCUCAAUGUAGACUAGCUCAGGCCGUCGGUCGAUACAUGUUUGGAAAAACACAAUACAGGACUUGAUUAUGCAUGUAAGCUGUUGCACUAGCCUAGCUUUCCAUAGGAUCCUAUGGGGACAAACUGUAAUGUGCUUUAUAAAGGACCUAAUUGGAGAUGAAUCUGGUUAAAAAUCGCGUAUCGUGUGUCCAGCCUUACAUGCAGUGAAGGCCUUCUCCUGGCUGAGGUCUGCCUCAUGUUGCAUUAAUAUAACCUUUUGUCGGAGUAACUUGCGUAACUCAACGAGAAUCACAUUGAUAAUUAUGCACAGGUUCUAUCUAGCUAAGAUUAAAGAAACAAGUCUCCUCAGAUCUCCCUUUCAUUCACCGCAGCAUUUCCAGUGUCUCCUCUGCAAUGUUCAGCUGUCCUAUCAUUACUUGCCUUUUUUUUUUUUUUUUACCUUCUUUAUACGUCUGAUUAUUCUUUCUUUUUCUUUGUUUUUGUGAGUGCAUCUCUUUUCUAUCUUGUGUUCAUUAAAGAUAAAAGCAGCCUUUUCUCUUGCCUUGUCUUAACGCUUUAAAGUAACCAAACAGGAGAUCUAUCUAACAACCAAACGCGUUCUAAGAGGUGAGAGACGACCCACCUUGGUCCCAGCUUUAGUGUCCUUAAUUAGUAAGUGAAUGGCUGUGUAACUCAUGCUUUAACAAAGCAAUUCCUCACGUGUGUUUGGUGAAAAAAAUACGUUGUCCAGUGUCUGUUGUUCUCUUCAGAAACAAUUUCCUCUGAGUCUUUCUUGCUGUUUUUAUUUCUUUUUUUUCUGUUUAUGUUCGUUUGUGUAGGAAUCUUUUGCUCUCCCAUUUUAUUUAUUACAAUGACCCAUGUAUACAUGCUUAUGAAAUUAAGAUUUGAUACACCGAUAUCAAUUUAUUUAUG